rnacentral:misc_RNA from 1 species
UGAUGAGCACCGAGGGGCUU